rnacentral:lncRNA from 1 species
CACUGCGCCAUGACGGGAACUCCCAAGCAGAUUGUUAUCACCACGUACCAUGCCUGCCACAAACACCAGAAAGUUGAGAACCACGAUCCCCAAACCCUUAUUUUCUUCUGCUCACUUCUGCUUGUCAGAUGCUGCACUUAGCUAUGGCCUCAAACCUUCACUGACCCACGCAUCUCCCCCUCCUCCCUGCCACUGGAAGGAAACCAUGGCAUCAGAACACAUUGGGACUGGCAGCUGCCUCCAGCACAAGGACUCAGAGUCGCAUCAUUGGAUUCCUGGACCCACUUGUGCCUGCUAUCAGCUUCCUGUUCCUGAGGCCCCCGAGAUUCACGGCUCUCCCCUGCAAGUCUCGUGUUUAUGAAUUGCGUCCUCAUUCGCCGGGGAAGGCCCUGCAGACUCCAGCCUGCUCGAAGGAAAUGCCAGAAACCCUGCUAAUUCCCCGGGCUCCCACCCUCCUCAGAGCCGGAGCCGCAGGAUGACAGAGCUGGCCUGGCUUUUCUUUAUCCCUCCCAAAUGAGAGCUCAUUUUUAAAAAGAAACUCAGCAAAAGGAUCUGGGGGGCGUGGGGGCGGGCAAUGAAGCCACUUCCAUCUGUCUUCCUGGCGUGUGGGAUGCAGAGGAGAGAUUUUGGAGAUGCAUGGAUCUGGGUUCGAAUCUGGCUCUGCUGCUCACCAGCUCUGUCCUGUGGGCCCGUCACCUGUCUGCGGAAAGUCUCCUUCCUCCAUUUCCUUCCUCUGUCCUGGAUCUUUGUGAGAAACGCCUCCUGACGGCAAAUGAGAGCUACCUGCAGACCCAGAAGCUUUCCCAGCUACCCGGUCCUUCUUCCUUCCCGACACGGGCCAAACAGCAUCUUCUCCUGCCAUGAGUGAGUCUGUGGGGGCUCUACUCCACAUGCCUGCUUGCCUGGGCUUGGCCAUCUUUUUCUUCCUAGACCUUGCUCUCUUCAUAACUUACUCUCCUUUUCAACAACCUUGAACCAUACCAAGUCUCUCCAUCCUAGCAAAACCCAAAUGUAAUUCUUCCCCCACUUGCCCGUCCAGCUCCUGCCUGUUGCCUCGCCUCCACUCUCACACUGUGCCUGCUGGACCUGCACUGGCAGUCUUCUCAUUAGGAUCUUCAGUGAGCUUUAUCCUACCUGACCUCUUGGCGCCGUUGGACUCAUUCGCUCUGGUUUCCUCCUGGCUUCUCAGACUCUUUUGCUCCUUUUGAGCAUCUGUGCUCCCCUGGGAGGGGCACCCACCAGGUCCUUUCCACCACCUCCACUCAGGACUGUCCAGGCCUUUCUGGCUUCCUCCUCGCCGCUCUGCUUCAGACCCCCAAACUGCAGAGCCAAGGACCAAUGGCUCCUUGGUCAUUCUGCUUGGACAUCUUAUAGGCUCUUCAAACUCAGUGUGUCCAUGACACAACCCAAUCCCUUUCCCUCUCAAGAGGGUUACUUCUUUAGAGUCUAGAAAAUGGCACCAGUAUCCGCCUAGUAAUGCAGACAAACUCCUGUCUCUCCUCCACAGGGCCAGGGCUGGGUGUCUUGGUUCCCUCUCUACCCUGCCCCCCACCCAGGCCUAGCACAGACCCUGGGGAGUAGCAGCCUUUUGGUAAAUGCAUUUCCUGGCUAGCUGGCUGGCUCCCAUUUACUCUCUCUCUUUUUUUUUAAAAUUUUUUUAUUAUAGUUGAUUUGCAAUGUUCUGUCAAUUUCUGCUGUACAGUAAAGUGACCCAGUUAUACAUAUAGAUAUAUUCUUUUUCUCACAUUAUCCUCCAUCAUGUUCCAUCACAAGUGACCAGAUUUAGCUCCCUGUGCUAUACAGCAGGAUCUCAUUGCUUAUCCACUCUAUAUGCAGUAGUUUGCAUCUAUUAGCACCAGACUCCCAGUCCAUCCCACUCCUCCCCCGCUGGCAACCACAAGUCUGUUCUCCAAGACCAUGAGUUUGUUUCUUUUCUGUAGAUAGGUUUAUUUGUGCUGUAUAUUAGAUUCCAGAUAUAAGUGAUAUCAUAUGGUAUUUGUCUUUUCUCUUUCUGACUGACUUCACUUAGUUUGAGAGUCUCUAGUUCCAUCCAUGUUGUUUUGUCUUUAUGGCUGAGUAGUAUUCUGUUGUGUAUACAUACCACCUCUUCUUAACCCAUUCAUCUGUCGAUGGACAUUUAGGUUGUUUCCAUGGCUUGGCUAUUGUGACCAGUGCUGCAAUGAACAUAGGGGUGCAUGUAUUUUUUUCAAUGAAAGUUUUGUCCAGAUAUUUGCCCAGGAGUGGGAUUGCUGGAUCAUAUGGUAGUUCUGUAUUUAGUUCCAUUUACUUUCUUUUUCAUUUGCUGGCUCAGUUAAUAAAUGAGAUCAUGUUUGCUGUGAGUCCA